AGCUGGUCUGAAGGUACUAAAUUAUCUAAAUUGAUUAUUCACAGUCAGCUAGAUUGAACUCCUUGUUCUAUCUUUUCCCUGCUUCUCACUGUUGCACUUGACUAAUCUGAA
rnacentral:Y_RNA from 1 species